rnacentral:tRNA from 1 species
GCUCGUGUAGCUCAACUGGCAGAGCAUCGGUUUUGUAAACCGAAGGUUGCGGGUUCGAGUCCCGCCGCGAGCU